rnacentral:rRNA from 1 species
GACGAACGCUGGCGGCGUGCCUAAUACAUGCAAGUCGAACGCAGUGGGGACGGGUGAUUAACACCUGGGUAACCUCCCAUCAGAGGGGAGAACACUUGGAAACAGGUGCUAAACCGAUACUGAUGGAUGGACCCGGGGUGGAUUAGCUGGUGGGUGAGGUAACGGCUCACCAAGGCCACGAUGCAUAGCCGGGCUGAGAGGGUGAUCGGCCACACUGGGACUGAGACACGGCCCAGACUCCUACGGGAGGCAGCAGUAGGGAAUCUUCGGCAAUGGGCGAAAGUCUGACCGAGCAACGCCGCGUGAAUGAAGAAGGUCUUCGGAUCGUAAAGCUCUGUUGUUAGGGAAGCGGUAUCUAACCAGAAAGCAACGGCUAACUACGUGCCAACAGCCGCGGUAAUUC